rnacentral:lncRNA from 1 species
UGUUCUCAAACUUUUAGCUAUUUUAAACGUCUCGAACUUCUUGUAAGUUACAUAUUCCUCACGUGCAAAUGACAUAUGACGACACAUUUCCAACAUCUCCUUCCUCAUAUUCCUUUUCAUAUCAUUUUCUAACCUGACAAAAAAUUCGCUAGCAACAGAUGCCGCUAAGUCUCAAUUGGAGUUGACUGGUGUAAAAACCCUUCUGCUGCCCAUAAUAAAAUCAAUUCCUCCUUGUCAAACAUGAAAUCCUUAGGGAAUAAUGAGCAGUAUGCAAACAAUUGCUUCAAAUGUGCAGAAAGAUCACGAUAGCUUAGUUUAAGGGCAGGGACAAUUGCAUCGUCUUUUGACAUCCAUAUCUCACUUUCUAACACUUCCCUCCAAGAUUCCUCAUCUUGUUUUGUCCUUAGUGAUCUACCAAGUGAUAUCAAAGCCAAAGGUAAGCCAUCACACUUUUUCACAAUACCCUCACCAUAUGGUUUGAGUGACAAAUGUGAAUUAAAUUUAUUCACACCUAAUGCAUUUAAAGCAAACAAAGACAUUGCAUCAUCAUGUGAUAGACACUGUAGUUUGUUUAGAUGAUUGUAACCCAACUUGUUGAGUAAUUGCUCCUUCCUAGUUGUUAUGACGACUUUACUUCCAGGAGCGCAUGCAUGAAACGGGCCGACUAAGGUUUUCCAAUCCUCAUAACUCUCACUCCACACAUCAUCUAAAACCAAUAAAAAUCUUUUCCCCCUUAGUUGAUCUCUAAGAGCUACUUGAAGCAGAUUAAAAUCUUCAAAUUUCUUGUUUUCUUGGGCCACAGAUUCAAAGAUAACUUUGCUUAUACCAAAGCUAUCAAAAUCAUCCGAGACACACACCCAUGCCUUGAGCUCGAAGUGAUCUGUGACUUGUUGGUUGUUAUACAAAAGUGUAGCCAAAGUAGUUUUUCCAACCCCACCCAUACCAACUAUGGGAACAAUGCUAAAGUUUUGAUCACAUGGUUCGUCCGCUAGUAAUUGGCGGACCAAUGCCUCUUCCUCAACUUGUCGUCCAACAAUACUAGACGCAUCGACAACAGAGGUUUGUAAUUCUCUAUUUUUAUUUUUUUUCUUAGUUUCCCCUUCCACACUCAAACCAAGUGUAGCUUUCUCCUCAACCAGAUCUUGUAAUUUUGUGGUAAUCUUAUCUAACUUGGCACGCAUGCUACUACUCUUUGUGAAAUUUGUGCAACAAGUUGGGAUCAGCUUUCUUAC